GAGUUUGAUCCUGGCUCAGGAUGAACGCUGGCGGCAGGCUUAACACAUGCAAGUCGAGGGGCAGCGAGAUCAGUGCUUGCACUGAUUGUCGGCGACCGGCGCACGGGUGCGUAACGCGUAUGCAACCUACCCAUUACAGGGGGAUAACACUGAGAAAUCGGUACUAAUACCCCAUAACAUCCAGGGAGGCAUCUUCUUGGGUUGAAAACUCCGGUGGUAAUGGAUGGGCAUGCGUUGUAUUAGUUAGUUGGUGGGGUAACGGCUCACCAAGACAACGAUACAUAGGGGGACUGAGAGGUUAACCCCCACAUUGGUACUGAGACACGGACCAAACUCCUACGGGAGGCAGCAGUGAGGAAUAUUGGUCAAUGGACGCAAGUCUGAACCAGCCAUGCCGCGUGCAGGAAGACGGCUCUAUGGGUUGUAAACUGCUUUUGUACGAGGGUAAACGCAGAUACGUGUAUCUGUCUGAAAGUAUCGUACGAAUAAGGAUCGGCUAACUCCGUGCCAGCAG
rnacentral:rRNA from 1 species